CCUUGUUCUCUUCCUUGCGACGACUACGCUUCGCUUCUCCCGUUCUCUCUCCUUCACUCGCUCGACUCUCUCUCUCUCUCUCUCCUUCGCUAGCUCGACUCGCUCUCUCCCUCCUUCCCACAGCUCGCAUCUGCGCUACUUGCGCUGAAUUGCUAUUGCUCGUUUGCCCGCUUGGCUGCCAAAGCUCGCGAAUGGUCAGCUCAAAUGCUCCUUGCUCGAUUGCCCUCCUCGCUUGCUCUCUCCCUUGCAAAUUGCUCUUUCCCUCGCAAUUGCUCCUUUGCAGGGUAUACCAGGGCUUCAAACAUCCAUGUUGACUGUCGUGAAGAUGCUAAUGGGCUUAGCUGAGGUUAAUGAAGGUGAAAUAUCGACACCUUGUCACUUUCAAAAUUCAUGGAUCUAAUUGCUGAUGAAGGUCUGAAAGGUCACUCAAAGGAUUCAUCCUCCACUUCAUCUGGGGAGUCAAGCAGGCCAGACGAAUCAUCUUUGUGGUCAAAAGACAUGUCAGCUCAUGUGCUACAAUGACCUUCAAUUCUAUCUAUGACAGGAGCAUUUGAACUUUUAUGUACGUUUUGCAUGUAAACAGAGAAUAGAUGUUUGAGAAACUGUGUUGUAUCAAGGUUUGUCGUAUAUAGUAUUCUGGCUUGAUCAAAUGGCUCUAAGUUUAGGAAAUAUUUAAGAAUGUUUGUAAUUUUAAAGGAUAAUAAAUUUCUUUCCUUGGGGCAGAUGUUAUCCUGUUUAUUGUAAUAAAGGUAUUCUUUUUCUUUUUC